rnacentral:rRNA from 1 species
AUUGAACGCUGGCGGCAGGCCUAACACAUGCAAGUCGAACGGUAACAGGAAGCAGCUUGCUGCUUUGCUGACGAGUGGCGGACGGGUGAGAAGUGUCUGGGAAACUGCCCGAUGGAGGGGGAUAACUACUGGAAACGGUAGCUAAUACCGCAUAACGUCGCAAGAACAAAGAGGGGGACCUUAGGGCCUCUUGCCAUCGGAUGUGCCCAGAUGGGAUUAGCUAGUAGGUGGGGUAACGGCUCACCCAGGCGACGAUCCCUAGCUGGUCUGAGAGGAGGACCAGCCACACUGGACCUGAGACACGGUCCAGACUCCUACGGGAGGCAGCAGUGGGGAAUAUUGCACAAUGGGCGCAAGCCUGCUGCAGCCAUGCCGCGUGUAUGAAGAAGGCCUUCGGGUUGUAAAGUACUUUCAGCGGGGAGGAAGGGAGUAAAGUUAAUACCUUUGCUCAUUGACGUUACCCGCAGAAGAAGCACCGGCUAACUCCGUG